GUUUUGCUGGCUCCGACACUGACAUCCGAUUCUAUACCAGAUUUCCAAGCUAUGAUCAUUUGAUGGCAUUUUGGUUUUUGAUUGAGCCUUGCAUCUAUAAAAUGAUCCGGGUUUCAAGAGCCAAGUCAGCUGCCAAUAGGAACGAAGAAGUGUUGACACCUGCACGCACAUCAACGAGGCAGCUGCUACAGCCAAUUGACGAGUUCUUUCUUUUCCUGGUUUUCCUGUCAGUUGGUUUGAAGGAGAGGGACCUGGCACACCGAUUUAACAUACACCAGUCCACAGUGAGCCGCAUUAUUGCAACAUGGACAAAUUUU